GGGUCAGUAGGUUGGUCGUGCUACCGGUACGUACUGGUCUCACUGAUUCCUCCUUCCUGAAGAACCGUAAUGCCAUUAAUUUGGUGUUGCGGGGAAACAGGACUGUUACUUUGAAAAAAUUUGAGUGUUUAAAGCAAGCUAACGCUUGAAUACAUUAGCAUGGAAUAAUGAAAUAGGACGAUCGAUCCUAUUUUGUUGGUUUCUAGGAUUGACGUA
rnacentral:rRNA from 1 species